rnacentral:rRNA from 1 species
UCUGCGGACGGCUCAGUAAAUCAGUGAUAAUCUAUUUGAUUUUCUCUCCCAUUGGAUAACCGUGGGAAAUCUAGAGCUAAUACGUGCGGUAUCUUGGCGAGCUCUCGGGUUCGUCAAAGCAUUUAUUAGACUAAACCAACUACUAUGUAUUUCAUAGUAAGGGGAAUCUGGAUAACUUUGCUGAUCGUAUGGCCUUGUGCCGGCGACGUUUCAAUUGAGUUUCUGCCCUAUCAACUUGUUGGUAAGGUAUUGGCUUACCAAGGUUGCAACGGGUAACGGGGAAUCAGGGUUCGAUUCCGGAGAGGGAGCCUGAGAAACGGCUACCACAUCCAAGGAAGGCAACAGGCGCGCAAAUUACCCAAUCUAGACAGUAGGAGGUGGUGAAGAGAAUUACUAAAUGGUGGUCCAAUGGAUCACUUGUUUGGAAUGAACGUAACUUAAGAAAUUCGUUGAUAAACAACUGGAGGGCAAGUCCUGGUGCCAGCAGCCGCGGUAAUUCCAGCUCCAGUAGUUUGCUUUAAAGUUGUUGCGUUUAAAACGCUCGUAGUUGGAUCACGCAGCAGUGUUCAGUUAUCUUUUGUCCGGCACCCAAUCGAUGCGUUCGUCUCUGACGACCUUUGAUGGGCCCGGCUCUUGAUGCUAUGCUGGAUGCUGUUAGUUGCACGUGAGAUGGAUUGUUGGCCUUAAUUGAGCCGGUAUUCUUGUCUUGCGGGGUGUGCCUUGAAUAAAACAGAGUGCUUAAAGCAGGUUAUUGCCUGAAUGUUAUAGCAUGGAACGAACAAUCGUGUAUAUGUGCGUGGCAUUAGAUGGUCACGAGCUUUUGGUUUGUGGUUAUCUGUGCUGCGUACGGCACCCACCAAAAUAUGGCUGUUGGUUCCAUAUACGGUGAUGAUUA